rnacentral:lncRNA from 1 species
AUUUUUAAUUUUAUUUAGCAAUGUUAAAUCAUAAUUGGACAAUAUCCGAAGCUACAUUUAAGAGAGUGGAACUCCAAUCUUUCUCUAAUGUUAUAAAUUAAUCCAAACAAAAACAAUAAUAGUUUCUUCAUAAUCCGUGAAAUACAUUUCACAUGUGGAGUACACGGAGCAGAACCAAGUAUUAAACUCCCAAAAUCAUCAUUGAACAGAAUUCCUAGAAUGCUAAUGAUCUUAAGACAAGUGAAAAAUGUUCAUUAGAUGCUAAAUCAUGACUGUAAAAACUGUACAAGAAUUCACAUUAGCUCUCUAAAUUUUUCUUGUUUCAAGUCAAAAAUCCAAAAUUUAACAGGACUUGGGAAACAUGAAUACGAUGAACCAAAAAUCCUCACCCAGUGGAGCUCAUUAAAGUCUUCUUCCUAGUUUAAUCUUGAUUAAUCCACGUCACUGCAAGAUCUUUUACUCUGUGGAGAUCACUAUCUAAACUUCCAUCAAUCUUCGUACUCAUAAAGAAGCUGCAACCAACACGAAGUGAAAGAUGAGUCAUGAUUUUCAGCCCAUCAUCAUAUUCAGAGAGAGAGAGAGAGGAGGAAAUUUCGAAAACCAUAAUGAUGUUUAUGUACCUCAACAAGAAACAUUC